rnacentral:rRNA from 1 species
AGAGUUGUAUCCUGGCUCAGAUUGAACGCUGGCGGCAUGCCUAACACAUGCAAGUCGAGCGGCAGCGCGGGGUAACCUGGCGGCGAGCGGCGGACGGGUGAGGAAUACAUCGGAAUCUGCCCUUUUGUGGGGGACAACUCAGGGAAACUUGAGCUAUUACCGCAUGAUGUCGAGAGACCAAAGCUGGGGACCGUAAGGCCUGGCGCAGGAGGAUGAGCCGAUGUCGGAUUAGCUAGUUGGUAGGGUAAAGGCCUACCAAGGCGACGAUCCGUAGCUGGUCUGAGAGGAUGAUCAGCCACACUGGAACUGAGACACGGUCCAGACUCCUACGGGAGGCAGCAGUGGGGAAUAUUGGACAAUGGGGGCAACCCUGAUCCAGCAAUGCCGCGUGUGUGAAGAAGGCCUUCGGGUUGUAAAGCACUUUUGUUCGGGACGAAAUCGUUGGUAUUAAUACUACUAACGGAUGACGGUACCGAAAGAAUAAGCACCGGCUAACUUCGUGCCAGCAGCCGCGGUAAUACGAAGGGUGCAAGCGUUAAUCGGAAUUACUGGGCGUAAAGCGUGCGUAGACGGCGCAUUAAGUCAGCUGUGAAACCCCCGGGCUCAACCUGGGACCUGC